rnacentral:lncRNA from 1 species
GAUGAUACGUAGAACUUACAAUCCUGGACCACAAUUACAAUAUCUAUAUCAUAACAAAUUAUGAAACUUUAAAAGUCUAUUCAUAAAGAUCAAAUUUCCAAACCAAAAAAAGAACAUAUGAUAAACUCUUAACCCCUCACAAUUUUGAAUGCAUCUAGUGCAGCUCCUGUAUUUGAAAGAAUUAAUAAUCCUCCCAGCUCAAGAAAUGCCUACAAGACAAUGAAUCUUUUUAAGAACAAACCAAAAGUUGAAGCUAGAUCAAGAAUAUUAGUCUAAUUAUCAAUUUCUCUUUUGGCAACACCAAAGGAAUCAAUUCAAAAUCUAUUAAAUUUUAAUUAAUGAAAUUAUAUACCAAGAAAUGAAGAACUGCAUCAUAAAAAGAAAGAGCUAACAACAAUAUUAAUUAAAAAAAAAAACAAAAAAGAGCAAAUGACAUUUUUUAUUCAAAUAUAUCUAGUCUCAUAUUUAGAAAAAAAAAAUACUAAAUACCUACAAUUAAAAUAAACAAUAUAACUGUUCUACAACACAAUAAUCAUCUAGAGUUUAAUCCUUAAUUUAAUAGAGUUAAAUAUUAACAAAUAAAAAAAUAUAUCUUAAAUUAACUUUCCUUACAUCACAGAGUAUUUUUCAAAGGGAUUAUCUUUUAAGAAAAAAAUUUAAAACAAAGACACCUAGAUAUAAAAUAAAAUAAAAAUUAAACCAUUUGAAAACAAAGAAAGAAAAGAGGACUUAGAUUUUAAAUAAAACAUAAAACCUAUCUUGAUAAAGAAAUUGUUUAAUUAUUAUAAUUCUCCUUUUCAUGACUUCAAAAAAGAAGCAAAUUGUGCAUGGACCUCAAUUUGGGAGGGGCUGAACUGUAGAGUAUUUAAUACAUCAAAAGAAAAUUACAAAUACAAAUUCUUAAAGAAUACAUACAAAUAUACAACUGUAAGGAGCAAUACCUGUGUGUUGCAGCACCACCGACAAACAAUUCCAGAGCCCAUUUUGAAACCUUCAAGCAAUUUCUGUUAACCAAAAUGUGAUUGUUAACAGGAUUAUGCAAUCGCUAAUCCCGUGAGGAUAAGACGUUGGAUUAACAAAAUGAUUAUCAUCAGCAAGGAGUGAUAUAACAAUAUAACCUGAUAAAUACAUAUAAAUGAAAGGGUGUAGGUAGUAACAUUAACUCUUACUAGAUUUCGAAUUUGAUGCUUUUCUGGGGAGUUCAACUUUACUUACAGUGACCUAGUAAUAACAGUUUAUUAGAAUUAAGCCAGAAAAAAAAUAUUUAGUUCAAAACAGUUCACCCACAACCAUAUUAUCCUAACUCAAGAGUGACAAAUGAUAAAGGUAGAGAUACAAACUUCUUUUUCAUCUUCAACAAGUUUUUCUUAUGGGGUAGAACAGCCACAAAAGCAUUCUUAUAAGUAUUUGAACGGCUCAUCCUUUUUUACGACCUUAAUAACAGUUGGAGGCAUAUGAGUUUAGAGAGAGAGAGACAGAAGAACACAUAACAAUUAUCAAAGAAACUAUCAAUUCAUGGAAUCUAUGAGUUUGAGACCAUAACUACAUAAACCACCGGCUAAAUGAAAAAUACAUGAAACUACAUGUUAUGUUAGAGCCAAGAUGGCUUAGCUUCUAAAUCAAGGGAAACGUCGUUUCCACUCCAAUCUUCCAAACCUCACGUGACUUCUAUUUCCAUUCUUUUAUAUAAUAUACUUUUAUUUACUUUCUAUACAUUACAAUUAUA